GUGAAUCAUCGAAUUUUUGAACGCAAAUUGCGCUCCCUGGUAUUCCGGGGAGUAUGCCUGUUUGAGGGUCGUUAGAAUGAAAAAUCGAUACGUCGCUGUUUCUACUAGGGGUGAGCGUGUCAGAAUGGAGAACUCUUUCGAAUGUUAAUGCAUGUCAAAGUGGAUUGUAGUUCAUAAAUCCGGAACGAUUUGAACGUAUUCAAGAUUAGAUUGGAGUC
rnacentral:misc_RNA from 1 species